GAGCCAGCGGACAAAGCAAACUCGGCAGAUUCAUCGAGGCGAGGGGCAAAUCAAAUGCACAAUCCCGUUCUGGGAUUGUAGAAGAUUGUCUAACGAGGCUGUCUAGUAGUAACUACUGAAGGAAAUACAUUAUUCUGCAUCUGCUCGAUUACUAAACAGAUGAGAAGCUGCAGUUAGGAGGGUUGGGAUAAAGAAUCAGAUCUGUGUCUGACCAUUUCUCACUUCACCAUGGGAGUUUAACUCUUUGCUUCACUGUGAGUGAAUCAAAGAUUAUACAGCAGAGUAGGUAUGAGCGAGCGAGGGAGGGAAGUGAGAGAAGGAAGGAGUUCAGGGACUUUAUUGCCAUCUGCAUCGGUGCAAGGGAGGUGAUGGUACAUUAGACAAUCUUGCUUACAGCAGCAUGGUAAGACACGUAGACUGAAACCGCCGACAUCAACACAGGUGGGUGACACAUACUCAAAUAGAAUGUACACAUCAAUUCUGCAAUGCGGGCGGGUUGCAGAACCAACUCGCGUAUUUAAUAAACAAAGACAUUAGGACAACAUUAGAAAACAAGUCUACACAGAGAAUGUUUCCACUAGUGGGAGAGUCUAGGACCAGAGGUCACAUCCUCGCAAUUAAAAGGGCGUUCCUUUAGGAAGGAGAUGAGGAGGAAUAUAGAAACAUAGACACAUAGACAAUAGGUGCAGGAGUAGAGGCCAUUCGGCCCUUCGAGCCUGCACCAUUCGCCAUUCAAUAUGAUCAUGGCUGAUCAUCCAACUCAGUAUCCUGUACCUGCCUUCUCUCCAUACCCCCUGAUCCCUUUAGCCACAAGGGCCACAUCUAACUCCCUCUUAAAUAUAGCCAAUGAACUGUGACAUCAACUACCUUCUGUGGCAGAGAAUUCCACAGAUUCACCAC